CCAUAUAUAUCCAUGCGUCCUCUGGGGCAGAAUCUGAGUUCUCCACUGCCUUUGAAACAAAGUGAUUCAUCGUCAUAAUUAAAGGAAAUAGGAAAAAUGAAUCACUUCUAAAGCACCAUCAUACGCGUAAGCAAAUGUUAGGUGUGGGAAAAAAAAGGUGAUCGCAGACGCGAUACGUGACGGAUUUCUCUCAGGCCGGAAAUUUAACUUCAUGUCAGCCUCAGUCGUCAGGGAAACAGGAAGAGGAGAAGAAUGCCCGUCAAUAUGAUUGGGCGUGACACGGACAAGGUCCCUCUGAUUGGAAGUUUUACAGCCGACAGUGAUUGAUGAAUCAUCAGUGGCGGCCUCAUCGUGGGCUGUGCCCUUGGCCGCCGCGGCCGUUGAUUAAACGCCAGCCGGCUCCAGAUGUGUGAGUCCGCCCCGGAGGCUGCGCCGUGUCCAGGUGGAGGACAACGUCUUGGGCUCUGACUGGGAGUCCGAGCAGAUGCAAUAACGCCGUCGUAGCGUCCGUCACGGAGAUGAAGACGAACCACGAGGCCUCAGUAUUAAGGAGACGAUGCCCCAGCAGCCAUCUGUAAUGUUUGAGUUGAUUGAAUUACCGAUUCUAAUUGUAUAUUUUGUUAUGUUUUGUUAACUAGGCUAUAAACUAUAACUGAUAGCUGAAGCUUGUUGCAUUCUUUUUAUAGCCAAUUUUCUGCUGUUCAAUAAACGUCCUGUGAUUGUGAAUAUAAUGAUUUUUGUUUCCCCACAGAACCAAGAUGUAAUUGAGUCAUUGAAAUAUAAUCUAAUAUUUGCAAACAAAACCUUUGAAGAAACACCAGAAUUAUUGUAUGACACACACACACACACACACACACACACACACACACACACACACACACACACACACACACACACACACACACACACACACACACACACACACACCCACCCACACACACACAAACACACACACACAGACACACACAGACCCUGAGGGCAGGUUGUAAUACAGACCAUGUCAAAAGGAGGAUUUCAUUAUUUUUGGGUAGGAGGACUUUAUUAUCUAAGCUACCUCGGAGACAUACGUUCUAGUCAGACAACUUGUACGCUUGUAGCAGUGGGACCAAAUCGGGUUUAGCAUUUAAAAGACUUGGGGCCAUUCACAUCAGGGGGCAUCGUUAAUGCCACGCUACAUCUCACCACUGCGCUCCGCUGCGUACGCCAGACGCAUCACCAGAACCGCUGGUCGUCACCAAAUCCUCAAGUUUAUCUUCAAUAUCAAAUGUGCUGAUGGGCCGCGGAUGGAUCUGCUAAUCCACGGUGAUGUGAUUGGUGGAGAACCUCAAUACGGUGACCUACUUCCUGGUCAGAAAACAG
ensembl:lncRNA